GAUCUCUUGUAUAAUAUCUAGAAUAAUAUAGAUCUACAACACCUAGACUAAAGUUAAAGACUAAGGUCUAGAUUUAUUUAACGUUUUAAAAAAAAAUCAAUAGAUCUAAUAUAGACAGUCAUGAGAUCCACUCUAUUUUAUCUAGAUCUAGACCAUACGUGAGAUCAAUAUGAAUAUUUAUAGAUCUAGUCUAGACUCUAGAUCUAUCGAUCAUCUAUCAUCUAGUCUGUCUACUAUAGCUAGACUCUAUACUUUAGUUUAAACUGAUACACUUUUACAGUAUAUGACAUGAGUAUACUCUUACGAGUCAUACUGGCUAUACUAUAGUAUAGACACUAUAGUUAGUAUAGUUAAUACUUUUUAAUAGUAGAUCUAGAUCUAUAAUCUAUCAAUUCUAUCUAAAUCUAGACUUCACUUUCACAUCACAUUCACACGAUUAUUGAUACAGACAGUGAAUGAAACGAAUGCAGUGGUUAUACUGAUUAUACUUAUAGUGACGAUACUACUUAUAGAUCUACCAGUUGAUAAACAUCAUCAUCAUAGAUAAUAAUCUACAUCUAUAAUCAUAGUGCCCUUUAUUUAGUCAAUAUAGUCAAGUCAAGAUAGUGGAACGUAAACUCGAAGGUUUAAUACAAUACGUUAUUAACAAGUAGAACCAUGGCAACCAGUUUUGAUGAUGUACCAAAAUGGCUCAAGGAUCAUACUUAUAUUAUUUCUACUCUCUGGGCAGACAUUAAUAAUAUUGGCAUCCAUUCAAUAUUUAAUUUAUGUUUGGAAAUGCAAGAAAAAGGCAUGCAUUCCUGAAAAGUCAAUGAUUGGUUGCACCUCUUAAAGAUAACUUUCUUCUGUUAUGAGAAAAGAUGAGAUUCUUGGACUCCUGCAUAGCACCACCAGAAAGGAAAAUCCCAUCAUGUUGCAAAAUAAAAGUCUUGGACCAAUUUUAAUUUAAGAUAUAUAUAUUAUACUGUAAGCUGUAUACAUAUUUAUGUAUAUCCUGUCAUUCAGCCAACAGGUUUGGAUUUAGUAUUUCUUUAAAUCUGUUUGAUAUUGUACUUGAAAACUAUUAAUCUGAGCCCCAUUAAAACAAGAGGGAGUGCAGUGGAUGAGUGGUAAGGGAAAUUUUACUUUUUUAAAAUUAAAAUAAGAAUCUAACAAAAGUAAACAUAUAAAAUAUGGUGCAUUCUCCCUAAAACUAAAUCCUGGUGCAAAGGUUUCAAAUGUUGGCAAAAAAAAAGCAACAUCAAUUAAAUAUUCUUAAUUCCCUUUGCAAAACUUACUGAGAAGAACAUGCAUGUUGUUCCCUCAUAAGUUUCUUGACAGAGGAAAUCUUGUUUAUAUUAGAUUUGAAUUAAGCAAAUUAAGAAAAAAAUUAUAAUCAUUAUUUAAACUAAACUAAACUUUAUGAAUUAUUUUUCAGUUAUAAGUAUAUUGAAAUGAAUGGAUAAUCAUGAAAUUGUUAAAUAAUUGCUGCUAUCAUUCCAUUGACUAAAGAACCAUAUUUUUUUUUUAAAAUUAAUUUCAAAAUGAUUUUUUUCAAGCAGAGUUCACAUACAUCUUGAGUGAAAUUUUUCUUUUUUUGACUAAUGCUUCAAUUUUAUUGUAUCAUUAGUUUUUUUUACUUUUAUUACCCAGAAUAUUUUAAAAAUGAGUACACUAUUUUCAUGUAAUAAUGUAACUUGGUAUUCACACAUCAAAAUACGCUAUAAUCUUAAGGCCAUACAGAUUUGUAUAAAUAUAAAUUAACUUGCUUAAAUAUAUUGUAAAUGUAUAUUGUUUGGAUAAGAAUAAAGUUUUUCUGUAGACAA